GAUAAUUUGCACGUCUGUAAAGACAAACCUGGGCUGAGUGCAACUUUAUGUCUCUGACAGCACAACGGUUGCGAUUUUAAGUUGUCAGUUUGGUUUGGAUUUGUUUUUUUGUUAACUUAAGUGGAAAGAGAAAUCUGUGUGUGUCGCUGAUAUCUCAGGCCCAGGCUUAGCGAAACGGGGGCACGACUCAGGCUGGCAGCACACCCAUCAUAACCCACUUUUUUGAUCUUCUGGCCUACAAGGAACAGACCAGAUGACCAGUGGCAGCAGCAGCAGAGACACUGCAGUAAGUGACAGAGCCCAUAAGACAGUGUGACUAAAAACAGGACAAAUAUUUACCCAUAGAGCACAGAGAGGAUUUUUGUUUUAGUGCUGCCAUUUGAAAUGUCCAUCUGGAAUUUCUGCUUUAACAACAAGUGACAAAUCCACAUUUGGGAGCCAUGUAUAAAACACCACCACAUGCAGUAGCUGCUCCUCCAGAGUGGAAAGUUGAUUUAAAAAGAAGCAUUAAAGGAUUUUUGUUCUAUCGCUCUUUUCAAAUCCACCAAACUCCAUUGAAAAAAACAGUGAUUUUACCUCCCAGAACAAGGGAGUUGCUAAAAUUACUGUAUUACUAACUGUCUCAUCUCAGUCCAGGAUCAAGAUGAACAUUGUCAGGUGUCCUCCUGUCACCAUGGAUGCUCAUCUGCAGGCCGGAUCUCAGAUACCAGCUGGGCUUCAGCAGUCCAGAACAGCAUUGUCCCUGAGGAUCCGUGGGAACCAGAUUCAAGACCCUACAUUCACUGUCUCUCCUCCACCUAUGCAACAACUUCCCUUCGUGCACCAGUCAGAGCGACACAUAAAACCUGAGGAAAUACAGGCUGAAUAUUUCAAAGACCAAAGGCUCAGAUGGGGGAAUAAAGCAGAGCUGUAAAUGAGCGUGCACACACUCCCACCAAAAACACCAGCCCAUCCAUCUGGAGCAACUUGUGUAGUAUAAAUACAGCAGGAUAAUAAGAGUAGAUGUGGACGUGGAGGAGACAGGAGACGACGAGGAGUUUAACGACACAGAUUUUUCGGGGCCGCAGCAGCUCGACGGUGACUCCCUGUGGGCGAAAGGCGGUGUCAGUCCUGAGUCACUCAUCCUGUCACAUUAAUGUGACAUGACUCAGUUUAGUAUCGAUACUAACUAAAGGGACUGGGAGCCGUCCAGAAAAGAGGGAAAAACCCCCAACCAAUCAGAAGUGGUUGCUAGGCAGAGCACAGUCAGCCUACCAAUCAGCGAUUUGUGUGCCGACGCUGGCCGACGUGUGACGUCCCUGCCGGUGACGUGUUCCGUCAUUGAACGUGACCUGCGCAGUGGAAGGAAGAGUCGAGCAGAAUGACAGAGAAACAAAGUUGGAAAAACGAGUAAAAACACCGAGUAAAACCAAUGUUUGCGUCGUCGCUUCGUUGCAGUGGUUUGUUACCACUGUGAGAGAUGGUAUUACUGAAGAAGUCUGGAAGCUAAAGCAAGCUUUGGAGUUGUUUUUUUUUGUCUAACACGAGUGAGGCUGGACGCUGGACACACGCGAAGAUGUCACCACUUCGUUCAUGACUGCAGAGACCAGACCAGGAUCCAUGAUAGUGAGGCCUCCAGGUCUAGUCUUUGAACUGCUGCAGCCUGGAGAGAAAUAGCAGCUCUCACCUUACUGACCAAAGAGGUGUCGCCACUUUGUCCACGACUGCAGAGACCAGACCAGGAUCAUGACAGAGCGGCCUCCAGGUGGAUUCUCAGAAACAACUGGUUCACCAAAG